rnacentral:rRNA from 1 species
GACGUAGGGCGCGAGCGUUGUCCGGAUUUAUUGGGCGUAAAGAGCUCGUAGGCGGCUUGUUGCGUCGGCUGUGAAAACCCGUGGCUUAACUGCGGGCUUGCAGCUGAUACGGGCGGGCUGGAGUUCGGUAGGGGAGACUGGAAUUCCUGGUGUAGCGGUGAAAUGCGCAGAUAUCAGGAGGAACACCGGUGGCGAAGGCGGGUCUCUGGGCCGGAACUGACGCUAAGGAGCGAAAGCGUGGGUAGCGAACAGG